CAGGACUAGGAUUUAUGAUAGCAAGAAAGAUAAAAUCAGCAGAGAAUAGGCAUGCAGAAGAGUCUAGAGGGAGCCUGAUGGAGCCACCCAGGGUUACACUGUAGAAUCACAGGAAGCACUGUUCAGUUUAGGAGUAUUACUAGAAACAUGACAAGUUCCCAGGAGAGCUCACUGGGGACUAUCAGGAUUUUAGUAGAGGGAGGGCUAUUCAUGUGACCCUUCAUACAGUUCCAUUCCUACAGGAAGGCAAGUGCUAGAGAUCACUUGUAGUCUGUAAGCAGUCUACGUGUGGUGAGCCACUCUUGCUAGUUACUAGUCCUGGAAACUCCCAGCAUCUAGACUCCUGUGAACUAGCCGUGUGUGAGGAUGCACUCCGAAGUCUGUUAAGUGAGCUUUUCCACAGAGCCUUAUUUUACAGAGGGUGGGAUCUGGAGCCUCGAUAUGGAGAAAGCAAUUUGUCUAAGUCAUAGGUAGAAUUUUGUUGGAAUGGAUGUGAGCUGGGUGUCUGACUCACAGGUGUGGGACCCUGUGUGUGUGCGUUAUUUGUCAGUGGCCAUGAAGGAAGUGAAUAAAGUGGUCAGCUUGUGUUUAGAUCCUA
rnacentral:lncRNA from 1 species